AAACAAGUUUCUUUCCUCCUUACUCCUAUGCCUGAUAGAAGAAGCUUAAAAGAGGAAGGACUUCCUCUGGGUUACACUUUGAGGUUACAGUCCGUCAUGGUCCAGAAGGCACAGCUGUGGGAGCAGCUUGUGGCUACAGCAGCCCCAAGUGUGAGCCUAGUUCCUUGAAUCUCCAUGGACCAGGAAGCACAGGCAGAAGAGGAAGCAGCCACACUCCUAGCUGCUCCAGGACCCAUGUCUGUGAUCUUCAUCUCUGCAGUGCUCCAGGACCCAUGUCUGUGAUCUUCAUCUCUGCAGUGCUCCAGGACCCACGUCUGUGAUCUUCAUCUCUGUAGUGCUCCAGGACCCAUGUCUGUGAUCUUCAUCCCUCUGGUCAAGUGCUCAGGAGACAAACAGUGGCACUGUUACCUGGCCUGUCUCACUUAAUCUCUGCUUCCUCCCCAGGAAGCCAGGAUGCCAGGCAAUUAAUUGUAAAUCAAAGCCCCUAUCUGGGGCCUCAGGCUACCCACAUAAGUUCAGAUCUCCUCCUGCCUUUUCCAAAUAUGCUUUCUGUAGGAGGUGACUUUGAAAUUGAAGCCAUAAAAAACUGGACAGAAAUAGACCCCCUCAGCUCCUUAAGGAUGAGAUUACAUGGAGGGAGCAGGCACCACCCCGUCCUUCAUUUAGGAAUGCCCGCCACCCUACAUACACUUGAGGUGGCCCUAUGCUAACCUUCUUUCUUUACAUAUGUUUGGGGGUCUUAUGAGAAUUUCAUAUGUGUGUAUAUUUACAUAAUUCCCAACCCAUCUGUCCCACUCCAAUUCUUCCUGUGUUCCCUAAUUCCAUCUCAAUCAUCUUUAAGUUAAACUUUUAAAAAUUUCAA